CUCUCACUGACUUAUAAACAGUACAUUUGCAGAUGUAAAUGUCAUUAUGCAAAUGUACUGUUUAUAAGGUUUGGGGAAACCUGCAGUCAGCUGAGACUGAAGAAGUCACUUGGAUGAGUGACGAAACGUUUCUCCCACAAAAUGCUACGUCCAGAUGAACAGAUUCAACUUUUGGAGAAUUAGCUUGUUUAUGUUAUGCUAACACAGCUGUGUCGCUAGCGGUCACGUAGCACAUCAUUAUAUACCAGCUAGCCAAACUUCAGUAACCCUAUAAACGUCACUGCUGUUUAGUUUUCUGUCUUCAUUUAUGUUGGAAGUGAUAGCAGAGCUGUACGUUUGAAUUUUUUUCCAAAACCCCGCAGUCAGGACAUGCUAUAUUGUAUUUAGAUAGAAGCUAGCGAGCUAACUUCCUGCUAACUUCUAACUCCGUUAAAUGUCAUAAAUUCCAUUUUCAUGGAUGCCUGGAUGUUAAACUCAAUUGUUACACCUGGUAGAGCAGAACACUGAUCAUUUUAUUAAAGAUGAAAGACUUUAGACAGUUUUUCAACGCUCAGUAAUGCCACAGUGAUCGUUUGAUAUAUGGACCUGCAGUGGAGUUUAGGCCCCCCAGACACGGCUAGUGACGUCAGACUGAACAACCGGAUAGAUAUCUGGGUUUAUGGGGUGCACUCAAAUGCACCACAAAGUAGCCCUUGUUACCGUACUACGCGAUAUAGAUGCCCAAGCACUUUUUAAGACUCGUUAGCUCCCAGCUCCUCUCCCGUGAGUGUCCGCGGUGAGAAAGGACGGGAAUCUUACCGAAAGCGAGGAUCACAAACAGCACACACAUCUUCAUCUUCAUCAUGAAGGAAAUCCAGCUGAUCGCCUUUAAUCUCUCUGAACUAACCCUGCGGCCACAUCGCGCUCCUCCGUCUCCGCUGACGCACAACCAUUGACAUGUCGAAGAGGUUAACACGUGAGGAGCGGAUCGAAAUUGUGUUGAUAUCUGGUGAACGCAGUAACCGGGUCAUUGCAGCAGAUUUCAAUGCAAGACACCCUACAAGACCACCCAUCUCCCAUGCUACAGUUAGCAAACUGCUUGCUAAGUUUCAUGAAACUGGUUCAGUGUUGGAUUUGCCAAAAUGUGGACGCAAGAAAACUGUCACUAAUGAAGAAACAUCAGUGGCUGUCCUAGCUUCAUUCAGCAAGAGCCCACAGCGUAGCACUCGCCGCAUGUCACUGGAGAGUGGCAUUAGUCGAACAUCCCUUCGGCAGAUAUUAGCUACUCACAAAUGGCACUCUUACAAACUCCAGCUACUGCAGCAUCUCAACGAGGAUGACCCAGAUCGGCGCACAGAAUUUGCAGAAUGGGCAAAAUAAAAAUUGGAACAGGACCCUCAGUUCAUGCAGAAGAUGUUGUUCAGUGAUGAGGCAAACUUUUAUGUGAAUGGUGAAGUUAACAAACAAAACCACG
ensembl:lncRNA